CCUACGGGUGGCAGCAGUGGGGAAUAUUGGGCAAUGGGCGCAAGCCUGACCCAGCAACGCCGCGUGAAGGAAGAAGGCUUUCGGGUUGUAAACUUCUUUUCUCAGGGACGAAGAAAGUGACGGUACCUGAGGAAUAAGCCACGGCUAACUACGUGCCAGCAGCCGCGGUAAUACGUAGGUGGCAAGCGUUAUCCGGAUUUAUUGGGUGUAAAGGGAGCGUAGACGGUUCUGCAAGUCUGAAGUGAAAGCCCGUGGCUUAACCGCGGAACGGCUUUGGAAACUGUGGAACUGGAGUGCUGGAGAGGCAAGCGGAAUUCCUAGUGUAGCGGUGAAAUGCGUAGAUAUUAGGAGGAACACCAGUGGCGAAGGCGGCUUGCUGGACAGUAACUGACGUUGAGGCUCGAAAGCGUGGGGAGCAAACAGGAUUAGAUACCCGGGUAGUC
rnacentral:rRNA from 1 species